rnacentral:rRNA from 1 species
GUGGCGAACGGGUGAGUAACACGUGGGCAAUCUGCCCUUCACUCUGGGACAAGCCCUGGAAACGGGGUCUAAUACCGGAUAACACUCUGUCCUGCAUGGGACGGGGUUAAAAGCUCCGGCGGUGAAGGAUGAGCCCGCGGCCUAUCAGCUUGUUGGUGGGGUAAUGGCCGACGAAGGCGACGACGGGUAGCCGGCCUGAGAGGGCGACCGGCCACACUGGGACUGAGACACGGCCCAGACUCCUACGGGAGGCAGCAGUGGGGAAUAUUGCACAAUGGGCGAAAGC